GGAUUUAUUGCAAUUCCAAAGUAUUAAAAACUAUUUAAAUGAAGUAAGCAUACCAUCAAAUGUUUUAAAUUAUAAACUGAUCAAAUAAUAUGACUGCAAUUUUCAAGUUUGUGUAUGCUAUGACAUUUUUUAUUUCUCUAUUUCUUGCUCUAGUUCAUGUCGAUGCAUUUGGUGGUCUUUGUGUAACUGAUGCUGCUUGUCCACAACUUUUUUGUUCUCCUAAAACUGCGAAGUGUAUUUUUUUCGAUUGUCACUGUGUUUGACAGAUUACACAAAAAAUAUGGUCAUGAAUAGCGAUCAGCGGAGCUUUGCUAAUGAGAGAAGAUAAAGACAUGUAUUGUGGGUUUUUUCUUUUUAAUCGUUAUGAAAUAUUUGUACGACUCCAAUAUUAUUAUAUAGGGAUCUAGACUAUUUUCUGUUGUUAUUUGUUUUACUCUCGAGUUUGUAAGCUUGUGCUUUAAAACAUGAAAACAAAUGCAUAAGAUGCAUAUCUUACGUACAA